GACGAACGCUGGCGGCGUGCCUAAUACAUGCAAGUCGAACGCACGAAGUUGAAGAGCUUGCUCUUUAACCAAGUGAGUGGCGGACGGGUGAGUAACACGUGGGUAACCUGCCCAUUAGAGGGGGAUAACAUUCGGAAACGGAUGCUAAUACCGCAUAGUUUCAGGAAUCGCAUGAUUCUUGAAGGAAAGGUGGCUUCGGCUACCACUAAUGGAUGGACCCGCGGCGUAUUAGCUAGUUGGUGAGGUAAUGGCUCACCAAGGCAAUGAUACGUAGCCGACCUGAGAGGGUGAUCGGCCACACUGGGACUGAGACACGGCCCAGACUCCUACGGGAGGCAGCAGUAGGGAAUCUUCCGCAAUGGACGAAAGUCUGACGGAGCAACGCCGCGUGAGUGAAGAAGGUUUUCGGAUCGUAAAACUCUGUUGUUAAAGAAGAACAAGGAUGAGAGUAACUGCUCAUCCCCUGACGGUAUUUAACCAGAAAGCCACGGCUAACUACGUGCCAGCAGCCGCGGUAAUACGUAGGUGGCAAGCGUUGUCCGGAUUUAUUGGGCGUAAAGCGAGCGCAGGCGGUUCUUUAAGUCUGAUGUGAAAGCCCCCGGCUCAACCGGGGAGGGUCAUUGGAAACUGGAGAACUUGAGUGCAGAAGAGGAGAGUGGAAUUCCACGUGUAGCGGUGAAAUGCGUAGAUAUGUGGAGGAACACCAGUGGCGAAGGCGGCUCUCUGGUCUGUAACUGACGCUGAGGCUCGAAAGCGUGGGGAGCAAACAGG
rnacentral:rRNA from 1 species